UACGUAGGGCGCAAGCGUUGUCCGGAAUUAUUGGGCGUAAAGAGCUCGUAGGCGGCUUGUCACGUCGGGUGUGAAAGCCCGGGGCUUAACCCCGGGUCUGCAUUCGAUACGGGCAGGCUAGAGUGUGGUAGGGGAGAUCGGAAUUCCUGGUGUAGCGGUGAAAUGCGCAGAUAUCAGGAGGAACACCAAUGGCGAAGGCAGAUCUCUGGGCCGUAACUGACGCUGAGGAGCGAAAGCAUGGGGAGCGAACAGG
rnacentral:rRNA from 1 species